UCUUCCCUUAGAGGUGUUUCAGGUGCUGUGUCACAGGUGCAUCAGUAGGUGGCAAAGAGGUGAGAGGCUGUGUCUAUGCUCAGUGUUCUGACCUGUGGGCACCUGGAUGAUUAGUAGCCUAACAUU